CCAACACUGAGUCUGUGUACAACUGUUUGGUGAUUUUCCAGCAACAUAGGAAGGUUGUAUGUGACAGUCAGAGAGUCCAGACACCCUCAGCAGAGAACAGCAGGUCUCUGGUGUGCAAAUGGUAUGAGGUGUAUGUGCCAAAGCCAGCUGAUGUCUGCAGGGUUGGUGUCAUGCCUUCCUGGUGAUGAAUCAGAGGGGAAAAGUCAGAGUGCCUGGUAGUUAAGAACUUGGAGGGGUGGAUUUGGGGCGACCUGGAACUGGAAGAGCUGUUGGUGUCCCCGUACAAGGAAUAAUGAGGCUGGUGGAAGUCAGGAAAGAUCAUUUUAAGACUGUCUAAGGGAAUAAAACCCCUACCUGAUGGGAAUGAAUUAUCCAUGAAGACCACGUCUAUGGACAAGCUACUGGCCUAACUGAUAAAUGAUUGACCUGUCAACACUUUAGUUAGGAGAGCUCGGAAGAAGGAUGUCAUCCAUGGGAUGGAAGGACAAUACCUUAUGAUGUGACUCUUGAACAGAUAAUGAACCAUCAGCUACGUACUCUCCUUGCAUUGUGAUAGCAACAUUUGUAUUUUUGCACUGCGGCAUGCUGCAUGCUCCUUUCCUACUAGAGCUGCAAAGGCUCUGCUUUUAAAUUAUACGGAGACAUGCUAUACUAUAACAAGUCUUUAUGGGAUUUUUAUAACGGAAAGUGAUAUGGCUAUAAAAAUCAAGGCUGACAGGGGAAAUAACUUGACAGGGAUCUGUUCCAUCUCUACUGGCCAGUAGGCACUGGUACAGUGUAAACAAGAAAGGCAGGCUUUGUGUAUUGUAUUUACAGGCUCCAACAGUUAUUUCUAUACCACAAAGACCAUCUGUUGUUUUGUGAACACAUUUGUUCAGACUAGCACUUGUAAUGGAAAGAUACAUGGUUAGCAAUCAUUUUGUGACACUUGCCUACUGCAGGGUUUUUUGCACCUAUCCCUAAAGCAGCUGUCUAACAGAGACAAAAAAAAACUGGAAUAGAGGGACCCCUAGUCUGAUCCAGUAUGGUAGUUCCUUUAUCUCUGUAUCAUAUGAUCCCAUUAGUUAUAAUCUGAGAGACCUACAAGGUUACAGCAAAUCUGUUUACUGCUGCUUAUUAUUAUGUAUUGAUAGUUCUGUUGCUAGUAUCCAAAAGCCCCAGUCAAGAUGAGGGCUCCAUUAUGCUAGCUGCUGUACAAACACUUAGUCAGACAAUGACGCAACCAGCUGGGGAAAGAUGAAAAGAUUUUUCUUGAAUAGCCAUUCAACUUUGAAAAUUAACUUUUGAUUGGACUAUUUCUGCAAUCCUUUUGUGUUUACUUCUAUUAUAAAAUGGCAGUAGUUGUCAUGGUUUUGGUGUUUGCAAAAACAACCUGUCUUUGUAGUUUUCAAGUGUUUAACCAGGGUCAAAAAUUAGAGACAGAAAGUGAUGGUACCAGUUUCAAGUUCCUGCUCAAUUUCAAGACUUGGAUGUUUUUUGCUGAAGGUAUCACUGGUUACUUUAUGGCUUCUAGUUUAACGCUAAGACAAAUUACACUUUUCACACUUUACUUAAAACCAUUCUAUAUGGUACCAGUCUAUAUGCAGCCUGAAAACAAGUGCUGCACUAGGACAUAUUUGGAGGGCUUUCUUUAUGAACAGAAGGACUAGAAACUCUCUGCAGAAAUAUAGGACUUCUAGACAAGUGAUCUAGAAUACCACAGUGAAGUAGAUCAAACUGACCUCUGCUUAUAAGUAAGCUCAAGAGCGAGCUACCGAAUGCUUUGUACAUUGCACAAUAAUGAAUAUUAAUCCUUAAUUACGGAAGCAUUUCAGUGGUCAACCAGAUCAAAGAUAAUUUUAUUAUAAAGUCCUAAUUUUGUACUGCUGUUUUUUUUUAAUAACGAGUCUUUGAAGAAUAUUAUACAAAGCAGACUGGAAGGACCUCAUACCCACAGUCAUAAAUAAGUUUUGUGUCCAAACCUUCUGAACAUUUCACUAGAAAGCACAGUGGUAAUUCUACCAGAUGUUAAAGUUUGCUUAAAAAUACACAGCAACAUUUUGAAAUGCCUUGAGAGGAGAUUUAAUGAGGGAAAUCAGAAAGUGAAGAUUAAACUAAAAAGAGAAAAGGGGAUACUGAAACAUCUGCCAAAUGGUUUAUUAGUGGUGUGGGGUGAAGGGAUGGAGAGAGAGUAAGCUUUGCUUUCAUAAUGUGGUUCCAAGAGGAAACACUUGAUAAGUAACUGCAGUAGGUAAAUGGGGCAAAUGUGGCAAAGUAAGAUAUUUAAGUGAUCACUCUACUGCACAUAUUAAGUAUAAAUGAUGCAUUGUAAUGUGCCAUGUAUUUUUAAUGACUGUCCUCUGGUCAGUCAUAAUAGUUUCAUAACAGAUGUAGCUUAUUUGAAGAACUCUGGAAGAAAAAGAGGAAAGAUUUGUCCUUUGUUUAGAUGAUAAGAAAAUUAGGACCAAGGUUGCUUUACUUAUUUCGGAUUAAGAAGAGAGAUGAUUAAGGGAUGCAAUAAUUUCAAAGUUGUUCCUGAACCUAUUUCAUUGCAGCAGGGAUAAAUAGAAUAAUGGAUAGAGAUGGCAGAGACUGCAGGAUGAUAAGAAUCUGAAGAUGGUGGCUGAGGGAAAGUACUGGAUUUUAACUGUAUCCUCAAACCAUAGAUGUGCACUCUAUAGGUACAGGCACAAAAGCAGUGUCUAUUCUUAGGAGUGGUUAUGAUUAAGUUAAGCUUAACUAAAGUAGCCAUUCUACUGAUGAAAUGACCAACAUUUGGUACCUCUAUGUUUCUGAUUACAUAUUUGUUUCUUGUCUGAAAUAUCACGGCCUACUAAAAUGACACAAGAAAAAGAAAAGGUUGUAUAACGGUGAUUGGUUUCAAAAGAUUAAAUGCAUAAGAUAACUUUCCACUAAAAAGUCACCAUUUUUGCUCUCUUGUUGAGAAGUUUAGUCCAAAUGUUUUAAUUUUAGCACGCCUAGUAAAUAAUAAACAUAAAUGAUAAACAAAAUGAGAACCUAAGUAAUAAAAUGCUUUUCAACAUUGGAUAAUUCUUUCACAGUGAGGAAAACUUAAAGCCAUAAUUAAGCCAAAUUCAAAUAAGCCAAAUUCACCCUAUUAUCUCUUUCUAUAUAGCUACUGAAAUCUUUUGCUCUUGGGCGGAAACUGCAUUUAUUAAUGUAUGAUGUAAAAGGUACUUACAAGAAGUAGGGUGGAAACGCUGGGCUCUGUCUGGAUUUUGUUCGGAAAAUAAAAGCUGUUGCUUGAGUUCACUGGUAGUUUUAGUUUUGCUGGGAAGGCAGGAUCAGGCUGAAAAUGAAGUGGCAUCAAAUACACAGUGGCAAAUCUCUCUCUAAUUGGGAAAAUAUAAAGUUCUUAGAAGAAGUAAGAUGAUCCUACCACAAAGGAAUCUUUCUGAAUGAUAGAGGCUAUAGACAAGUACAUGGAGGAAAACCUAUUUAAAAGGAGACUAGCACCCAUUUUACCCAUUUCUAAAGUGUGCAAGUUUCACACUUUAAAGUACUAGUCACCAAAUUUUUUUUAAAAGACCCUGAUUCUCCAUUGCCUUGCACCUUGGAUGGUCUUUUACAUAUACAUAAAGAGGGUAUAAAAUGCUAACACCAAAAUGAGUGGUGAAUUCUGAUGUUAUACUCAUUUUGCACAGAUGCAAGACUCCAAUACAGCAAAGCACUUAAGCAUGUGCCAAAUUUGAAGUAUGUGCUUAAGACCCAUUGGCUUUAAGAUGAACAAUACUUUUCAAUAUUUGACUUGGGCCUUUGACUUAAACACAGGCUUACAUGUUUUGCUGAACUGAAGCCUAAAUGACGACAUAAGGUUAAGGUAGUGGAGAAUCAGGCCCAAGAUAUUUAGUUACACUUGUUUUUCUGAAAUUCUGGUUGAAAACUGAUAUCAUUUGUGACACCUUCAGUAAACAGUUUCCAUCCUAUUUAAAUAGUUUAACAAUCAGAAGAACGUAAGUAUUUAAACAUUAAGCAUUUCCGUUAAAUAUUUAACAAUAAAAGUUAUCCUCUUGAUUCUUUUAAUCUGUAUUCAGCUUUCAUAACAUUAAAAAUGAACUAAGAAAGUUUCAGCAUGAAAUAUUUAUAUCGCUUAAAUAGGAAACAGAAAUUGGGAGCAGAACAUCAGGGACACCAUCUCAUUUGUGUAACUAUUUCAGACUUUGACUGUAAAAGAAACUAUGGCAGGUUUCUAGAAUGGCUGGCUCAUAUAGUCUCAGAUAAGCCUUAUCGCUGAUACAAGUGAUGAGCAAAUCACAGCAUGGAUGGAGGAUCAAACUGGUUAAAACCCCAAAAGUUUAGGAUAGUUCAUUUUGAGCUGUGUGCAAACAGAUGGACAAGUUCAUAAACCAUCUGAACUGGUUCACCCAGCUCUAGUUAAUAGGUCUGGCACUUGUUUACUUUAUAAUUAAAAAGGAGAUUUUGAUUUUAAAUUCUUUUUAGGUUACAAAUGCUGAAAU